rnacentral:tRNA from 1 species
GCUGGGGUUGCCUAGCCAGGUAAGGCGCAGGCCUGGAGAGCCUGUGACCCGAAAGGGUCUCGUGGGUUCAAAUCCCACCCCCAGCGCCA